rnacentral:rRNA from 1 species
AUUGAACGCUGGCGGAAUGCUUUACACAUGCAAGUCGAACGGUAGAGGGGGCAACCCCUUGAGAGUGGCGAACGGGUGAGUAAUAUAUCGGAACGUGCCCAGUCGUGGGGAUAACGUAGCGAAAGUUACGCUAAUACCGCAUACGAUCUACGGAUGAAAGCGGGGGACUCGCAAGAGCCUCGCGCGAUUGGAGCGGCCGAUAUCAGAUUAGGUAGUUGGUGGGGUAAAGGCUCACCAAGCCAACGAUCUGUAGCUGGUCUGAGAGGACGACCAGCCACACUGGAACUGAGACACGGUCCAGACUCCUACGGGAGGCAGCAGUGGGAAUUUUGGGACAAUGGGACGCAAGGUCUUGGAUCCAGCCAUUCCGCGUGCAGGAUGAAAGGCCCUCGGGUUGUAAACUGCUUUUGUACGGAACGAAAAGGUCUCUUCUAAUAAAGGGGGUCCCAUGACGGUACCGUAAGAAUAAGCACCGGCUAACU